rnacentral:rRNA from 1 species
AGAAUCAACGCUGGCGGCGUGCCUAACACAUGCAAGUCGCACGAGAAAGGGACUUCGGUCCUGAGUACAGUGGCGCACGGGUGAGUAACACGUGAAUAAUCUACCUCCGAGUGGGGAAUAACUGAGAGAAAUCUUAGCUAAUACCGCAUAACACUUACGAGUCAAAGCAGCAAUGCGCUUGGAGAGGAGUUCGCGGCAGAUUAGUUAGUUGGCGGGGUAAUGGCCCACCAAGACGAUGAUCUGUAUCCGGCCUGAGAGGGCGCGACGGACGACGACUGGAACUGAAACACGGUCCAGACUCCUACGGGAGGCAGCAGUGGGGAAUUUUGCGCAAUGGGGGAAACCCUGACGCAGCAACGCCGCGUGGAGGAUGAAAUCCCUUGGGAUGUAAACUCCUUUCGAUCGGGAAGAUAAUGACGGUACCGAGAGAAGAAGCCCCGGCUAACUUCGUGCCAGCAGCCGC